UACGUAGGGGGCGAGCGUUGUCCGGAUUCAUUGGGCGUAAAGAGCUCGUAGGCGGCUUGGCAAGUCGGGUGUGAAACCUCCAGGCUCAACCUGGAGACGCCACCCGAUACUGCCAUGGCUAGAGUCCGGUAGGGGACCACGGAAUUCCUGGUGUAGCGGUGAAAUGCGCAGAUAUCAGGAGGAACACCGGUGGCGAAGGCGGUGGUCUGGGCCGGAACUGACGCUGAGGAGCGAAAGCGUGGGGAGCGAACAGG
rnacentral:rRNA from 1 species